AUUGAACGCUGGCGGCAGGCCUAACACAUGCAAGUCGAGCGGAGCGGCGGACGGGUGAGUAAUGCCUAGGAAUCUGCCUGGUAGUGGGGGAUAACGUCCGGAAACGGGCGCUAAUACCGCAUACUAUCAGAUGAGCCUAGGUCGGAUUAGCUAGUUGGUGGGGUAAAGGCCUACCAAGGCGACGAUCCCUAGCUGGGAUGAGAGGAUGACCAGCCACAAUGGAACGGAGACACGGUCCAGACUCCUACGGGAGGGAGCAGGGGGGAAUAUUGCACAAUGGGCGCAAGCCGGAUGUAGACAUGCCGCGUGUAUGAAGAAGGCGGUCGGGUGGUAAAGUACUUUCAGCGGGGAGGCGUUACCCUCAGAAGAAGCACCUGCUAACGCCGUGCCAGCAGCCGAGGUAAUAC
rnacentral:rRNA from 1 species